rnacentral:rRNA from 1 species
CGGACGGGUGAGUAAUGUCUGGGAAACUGCCUGAUGAGGGGGGAUAACUAACUGGAAACGGUAGCUAAUACCGCAUAAUGUCGCAAGACCAAAGAGGGGGACCUUCGGGCCUCUUGCCAUCGGAUGUGCCCAGAUGGGAUUAGCUUGUUGGUGGGGUAACGGCUCACCAAGGCGACGAUCCCUAGCUGGUCUGAGAGGAUGACCAGCCACACUGGAACUGAGACACGGUCCAGACUCCUACGGGAGGCAGCAUG